ACCUUGUUGUCACAGUAGGCAGCGCAUCAGUCUCAUAAUCUGAAGCUUGUGAGUUCAAGCCUCACAUGGGGCA
rfam:Danio rerio chromosome 4, GRCz11 reference primary assembly.